rnacentral:tRNA from 1 species
GCCUCUGUAGUUGAACCACAACAGCAGCCUUUCAGACUGCCGGCCCGGGUUAAACUCCCGGUAGACGCU